UACAGAGGUCUCAAGCGUUGUUCGGAUUCAUUGGGCGUAAAGGGUGCGUAGGCGGUCGGGUAAGUUUGAUGUGAAAUCUCCGGGCUUAACCCGGAAACUGCAUUGAAUACUAUUCGGCUUGAGGCCUGGAGGGGGGACUGGAAUUCUCGGUGUAGCAGUGAAAUGCGUAGAUAUCGAGAGGAACACCAGUGGCGAAGGCGAGUCCCUGGACAGGUCCUGACGCUGAGGCACGAAAGCUAGGGGAGCAAACAGG
rnacentral:rRNA from 1 species